rnacentral:lncRNA from 1 species
CCGAGUUCGACUCAGCAUUACAUUUGACUGCGACAACCAAACCAUCGGCCACUGCUCUACCAGCAAGUUUCCUGAGGCAAUAAUCCAGCAGCUCUAACGAGCCAAUAGACGAAAAGGUUGCCCCUCGAAGAGCCCGCCAGGUAACCCACUUGGAUUCCUUAACAGCUUGAAGAAUCUUGAUAAUGGCAUUCUCUGCUCGGUUGAUGUCUUCCUGUCUCCAUGUGCACAUUGGCAGUGAUUCAGGAUCUUGUGAUUUUUCUGUUGCAUCAGCUCCCAAAUUCUUCUCACCAUAGCAGUCCUUGAUCUGCUGAGUUAUGAAACAGAAGAGGUCUCUCAAUGUCUUCAGUCUUCGAGGUGAAAGGAACACAUAAAGGGCAAUGGUCUUCUGCAGCUGGGUGCUAAGUGAUCGGUCAUCAGGGAGAGGAG